rnacentral:rRNA from 1 species
AACGCUAGCUACAGGCUUAACACAUGCAAGUCGAGGGGUAACAAGAGAAAAGCUUGCUUUUCUUGUUGACGACCGGCGCACGGGUGAGUAACGCGUAUCCAACCUGCCUAUAACUAGGGAAUAACCUUGCGAAAGUAAGACUAAUACCCUAUGAUUUCCUUUGAUGGCAUCAGAUUAGGAAUAAAGAUUUAUCGGUUAUAGAUGGGGAUGCGUCUGAUUAGCUUGUUGGCGGGGUAACGGCCCACCAAGGCAACGAUCAGUAGGGGUUCUGAGAGGAAGGUCCCCCACAUUGGAACUGAGACACGGUCCAAACUCCUACGGGAGGCAGCAGUGAGGAAUAUUGGUCAAUGGGCGAGAGCCUGAACCAGCCAAGUAGCGUGCAGGAUGACGGCCCUAUGGGUUGUAAACUGCUUUUAUACAGGAAUAAAGUUAGCCACGUGUGGCUAUUUGUAGGUACUGUAUGAAUAAGGACCGGCUAAUUCCGUGCCAGCAGCCGCGGUAAUACGGAAGGUCCAGGCGUUAUCCGGAUUUAUUGGGUUUAAAGGGAGCGUAGGCCGUCUGUUAAGCGUGUUGUGAAAUGUAGAUGCUCAACAUCUGAAUUGCAGCGCGAACUGGCAGACUUGAGUGUGCGCAACGUAGGCGGAAUUCGUGGUGUAGCGGUGAAAUGCUUAGAUAUCACGAAGAACUCCAAUUGCGAAGGCAGCUUACGGGAGCACAACUGACGCUGAAGCUCGAAAGUGCGGGUAUCGAACAGGAUUAGAUACCCUGGUAGUCCGCACGGUAAACGAUGGAUGCUCGCUGUGGGCGACAAACAGUCCGCGGCCAAGCGAAAGCGUUAAGCAUCCCACCUGGGGAGUACGCCGGCAACGGUGAAACUCAAAGGAAUUGACGGGGGCCCGCACAAGCGGAGGAACAUGUGGUUUAAUUCGAUGAUACGCGAGGAACCUUACCCGGGCUUGAACUGCAGAGGAAGGUCACAGAGAUGUGUCCGCCCUUCGGGGUCUCUGCGGAGGUGCUGCAUGGUUGUCGUCAGCUCGUGCCGUGAGGUGUCGGCUUAAGUGC